AGUCUAAUGAUGGUUCAGCUAUAGUAGCCACACAUGGUGAAUCUGUGACAGAGGCUCUGAAAACUAAGGAGUGGGAGGUGGGAAUGUUCCAAAAUGAGGUUGCAGCUAGCCAAGGUAUAAGAAUAAGGAGAAGACCACCAUCUAGACCCCCUUUGCAUUAUGUAGGACCCUUUCAAUUCAAGUUGCAGAAUGAGGGAAAUACGCCCCGGAACAUUUUGGAAGAGAUUGUGUGGAACAAAGACACAGAAGUCUCGCAUCUUAAAGAAAGAAAACCCCUCAAUGUGAUGAAGAAAGCUCUCGAAAAUGCACCUCUGAUCCUGCUAGGGAUUUUAUUGGUGCUCUAAAGGCAGCCAACGAACGAACUGGACUACCAGGGUUGAUUGCUGAAGUGAAGAAAGUGUCACCAAGUAGAGGUAUCUUGAGAUAAGACUUCGAUCCAGUAAGUUUGUGUUGUUUUCCUGUAUCCUUUUUGUGGAAAGAAUUGUUGUCUCUCUACUUUAUUUGUAAUUUUAUGAAGUUGUUUUCUUUAUGUAAUGUGUGAAAUGUUUUAACUAGCUGACACCCCA